rnacentral:rRNA from 1 species
AUUGAACGCUGGCGGCAUGCCUUACACAUGCAAGUCGAACGGUAACAGGUCUUCGGAUGCUGACGAGUGGCGAACGGGUGAGUAAUACAUCGGAACGUGCCUAGUAGUGGGGGAUAACUACUCGAAAGAGUGGCUAAUACCGCAUGAGAUCUACGGAUGAAAGCAGGGGAUCGCAAGACCUUGUGCUACUAGAGCGGACGAUGGCAGAUUAGGUAGUUGGUGGGAUAAAAGCUUACCAAGCCGACGAUCUGUAGCUGGUCUGAGAGGAGGAUCAGCCACACUGGGACUGAGACAAGGCCCAGACUCCUACGGGAGGCAGCAGUGGGGAAUUUUGGACAAUGGGCGAAAGCCUGAUCCAGCAAUGCCGCGUGCAGGAUGAAGGCCUUCGGGUUGUAAACUGCUUUUGUACGGAACGAAAAGCCCCGGGUUAAUACCCUGGGGUCAUGACGGUACCGUAAGAAUAAGCACCGGCUAACUACGUGCCAGCCGCCGCAGUAA